UUGAUCCUGGCUCAGAAUCAACGCUGGCGGCGUGCCUAACACAUGCAAGUCGAACGCGAAAGCCCCGCAAGGGGUCAGUAGAGUGGCGCACGGGUGAGUUACACGUGGACAACCUGCCUAGCAGUGGGGGAUAACCUUCCGAAAGGAGGUCUAAUACCGCAUAAUCCCUUAGGACGCAGGUUCUAGGGUUGAAAGGAGCUAUUUGCUGCUAGAGGGGUCCGCGCCUGAUUAGCUAGUUGGUGAGGUAACUGCUCACCAAGGCGACGAUCAGUAGCCGUCCUGAGAGGGAGCACGGCCACUCUGGAACUGAGACACGGUCCAGACUCCUACGGGAGGCAGCAGUGGGGAAUUUUUGGCAAUGGGCGCAAGCCUGACCAAGCAACGCCGCGUGGGUGAUGAUGUCUUUUGGGACGUAAAACCCUUUCAGCAGGGACGAAACUUUGACGGUAUCUGCAGAAGAAGCCCCGGCUAACUCCGUGCCAGCAGCCGCGGUAAUAAGUU
rnacentral:rRNA from 1 species